rnacentral:rRNA from 1 species
AUUUCCUUCGGGACUGAUUAUUUUGUGACUGAGUGGCGGACGGGUGAGUAACGCGUGGGUAACCUGCCUUGUACAGGGGGAUAACAGUUGGAAACGGCUGCUAAUACCGCAUAAGCGCACGGCAUCGCAUGAUGCAGUGUGAAAACUCCGGUGGUAUAAGAUGGACCCGCGUUGGAUUAGCCAGUUGGCAGGGUAACGGCCUACCAAAGCGACGAUCCAUAGCCGGCCUGAGAGGGUGAACGGCCACAUUGGGACUGAGACACGGCCCAGACUCC